CAAUAGCGUAUAUUAAAGUUGUUGCGGUUAAAAAGCUCGUAGUUGGAUUUCUGCUGAGAACGACCGGUCCGCCCUUUGGGUGUGUAUCUGGCUCUUUCUUGGCAUCUUCUUGGUGAACGUUGCUGCACUUGACUGUGUGGAGCGCUACCCAGGACUUUUACUUUGAGGAAAUUAGAGUGUUUCAAGCAGGCAUACGCCUUGAAUACAUUAGCAUGGAAUAAUAAGAUAGGACCUCGGUUCUAUUUUGUUGGUUUCUAGAGCUGAGGUAAUGAUUAAUAGGGAUAGUUGGGGGCAUUCGUAUUUAACUGUCAGAGGUCAAAUUCUUGGAUUUGUUAAAGACGGACUACUGCGAAAGCAUUUGCCAAGGAUGUUUUCAUUGA
rnacentral:rRNA from 1 species